rnacentral:rRNA from 1 species
CUAUAUGCAAGUCGACGCUUCUUUCCUCCCGAGUGCUUGCACUCAAUUGGAAAGAGGAGUGGCGGACGGGUGAGUAACACGUGGGUAACCUACCCAUCAGAGGGGGAUAACACUUGGAAACAGGUGCUAAUACCGCAUAACAGUUUAUGCCGCAUGGCAUAAGAUUGAAAGGCGCUUUCGGGUGUCGCUGAUGGAUGGACCCGCGGUGCAUUAGCUAGUUGGUGAGGUAACGGCUCACCAAGGCCACGAUGCAUAGCCGACCUGAGAGGGUGAUCGGCCACACUGGGACUGAGACACGGCCCAGACUCCUACGGGAGGCAGCAGUAGGGAAUCUUCGGCAAUGGACGAAAGUCUGACCGAGCAACGCCGCGUGAGUGAAGAAGGUUUUCGGAUCGUAAAACUCUGUUGUUAGAGAAGAACAAGGACGUUAGUAACUGAACGUCCCCUGACGGUAUCUAACCAGAAAGCCACGGCUAACUACGUGCCAGCAGCCGCGGUAAUACGUAAGUGGCAAGCGUUGUCCGGAUUUAUUGGGCGUAAAGCGAGCGCAUGCGGUUUCUUAUGUCUGAUGUGAAAGCCCCCGGCUC